AUCGACGGCGGGCGGUGCGUGGGGGCCUCGUGCCCACCGGCUCAUUCAGUCCCGGGAUUGGAAACCACGUAUCGCCCGCCACCCUA
rnacentral:antisense_RNA from 1 species